rnacentral:rRNA from 1 species
GACGAACGCUGGCGGCGUGCUUAACACAUGCAAGUCGAACGAAAAGGCCCAGGUUUCUGGGAGUACUCGAGUGGAGAGGGGGUGUGAAACACGUGGGACAUCUGCCCUACACUGGGGGAUACCUGUGGGAAAGUGGGUCUAAUACCGGAUAGGAGCGCACCGUGGGGUGUGUGGUGGAAAGAUUUUUCGGGUGUGGGUGGAGUCGCGGGCUAUCAGCUUGUUGGGGGGGGAAUGGCUCUCCAAGGCGACGGCGGGGAGCCGGCCUGGGGGGGGGACCGGCCACACUGGGCCUGAGACACGGCCCAGACUCCUACGGGAGGCAGCAGUGGGGAAUAUUGCACAAUGGGCGCACGCCUGAUGCAGCAACGCCGCGUGAGGGAUGACGGCCUUCGGGUUGUAAACCUCUUUCCGUAGGGAAGAAGCGUAAGUGACGGUACCUGCAGAAGAAGCACCGGCUAACUACGUG